CCUACGGGAGGCAGCAGUGGGGAAUAUUGCACAAUGGGCGAAAGCCUGAUGCAGCGACGCCGCGUGAGGGAUGACGGCCUUCGGGUUGUAAACCUCUUUCAGCAGGGAAGAAGCGAAAGUGACGGUACCUGCAGAAGAGGCGCCGGCUAACUACGUGCCAGCAGCCGCGGUAAU
rnacentral:rRNA from 1 species